UACAGAGGGUGCGAGCGUUAAUCGGAGUUACUGGGCGUAAAGGGCGCGUAGGCGGUAGAAUGAGUGUGAUGUGAAAGCCCUGGGCUUAACCUGGGAAGUGCAUCGCAAACGAUUUUGCUGGAGUAGAUGAGAGGGUGGUGGAAUUUCCGGUGGAGCGGUGAAAUGCGUAGAGAUCGGAAAGAACACCAACGGCGAAAGCACUCUGCUGGGCCGACACUGACACUGAGAGACGAAAGCUAGGGGAGCGAAUGGG
rnacentral:rRNA from 1 species